AACAACAUCUGGGCUAAGCUCCUCUUGAGCUUAUCAGAAACACUGUCUGCUCCCAAGAAUUUAUGUUGUCUAACAAUCUCCUGUUUUCUAACCAACUGCCCCGGAAAAUUAUUUUUCUUGCCUGACUAACAGCCCAAAUGGUACAACAUUGUUGUUACUGAACUUUCAAAGAAAGUUGCUGACCUGAAUUGCAGCCAGGAUGGAAAAUUGCUAUGACUAAAGCCAUCUGUCUUGCAACCCUAUAAAUAGUGGUCCUUAAGUGAUACCCUUUGAGCUCUCCUGGACCACAGUGGGCUGUGGCCAGCAAUCUCACUCUGAGCAGCACACCUCUCAGAGCCAGAGAACUCUCAUUUGCUGUACUUGAAGAACUGCUGCUGAACACCGACAACGGAGCCUCACUUCUCAAAGCUCAACCCUUCACCUAUUGAGAAGAUGCAAAGACAUCCAACAUGAGUACUUCAGUGAACUUGAGGGGAAUUUUUCACAGACACAUGGAGAAAGCAGCAACACGACGCUCAUCUUUUAAAUGGCUGGGUCAACUGUUGCUGUGUGGCGUGGUCUACAGAGAAUUGAUGGCACAUUUCUUAUGCCUGAAGCCUGUCAAAGCAGAGUGAGAACUUCAGCCAUAGCUUCACACUAGGCAGUCCCACUAGUAGUAGGGGCACUGACACUGCCAAGGAUAUUAAAUGCUCAGAAGCUGUGAUUGGCAUUUUGAAGGAGCACAGUUUCAAAAAUACUGAAAAGUACUUGCAAAAGUGUCCUAAUCACUUUUAAGCUUAAGACUCAUCUAAACAAUUUUUACUACUUUUUGAAAAGAAAAAUUUCUUAUAUUAGUGUCUCAGUAAGAUUUCUUAAAAGGUCCCAUUCCAGCACAUGCAUAGUUAUAUUUAACUUCCUGAAUACUUGGUUAAUCUUAAUUCAUAUUGACACUGACUCCUGCAUGUCAGGCCUUAAUGUUUUCAGGAUCCAGAGCUCCUUUUUGAAUUUGUAGAAUAAGUAUAAAUGAAAGAAGAAGGAGAAGGACGAAAAUUACAAUACUAACUUGCUUAAAGGUAUUUAGUCCAACAUGAACAUUUUUAUCUUGUCACAAUUUCCAAUAUUUCAUUUUUGUUUACAUCUUCAAUCAAAGCUUAAAUCAAAAUAUCAGACUAGUCUUAUCUGUACUGGUUUGUUUUGAAAUGUUUCACUUAGAUAUUUCAUGGUUGAAAAUAAAAAUUACAAAAUUAAAAACAUCCUGCAUUUCUCAUACAAAAAUAUUUCUCUGAGGUAGACCUCAUUAGACAUCAGAGUAGUUAAUGGCUUGGUGUUGCAGAUUUUAUAACAGUCACAUCAUAUUUAGUCACUUAACCAGGAAUGUGAAAUUUAUGAUUUCUUUGUAAGAGGCAAAGCAAUCAGAUAGAGAAUAACUAUGGGCAUGAUAGAAGAGAAAGAAAAUACCUUCAAAUAAAUCAUUACUAUUUUUCAGACAAUAGCAUAGUUUGGAGAGAAGAGGGCUUUACAUUUGUAAGGGAACCAAUAAAUCAGAGUGAUUCCUCUGGUAUGCUAGUUUUCUACUCAUUCUUUACUAGCUACCCACAAUCCAAACUUUUACUAAGGACACAUCUGAGCCCCUGACACAUGUUCAAACAAAGAGGAAAAUGCCUACAUUGUCAAAACAACUGAAAGAGUCUUCUUCAGGCUGAGAAGCAUUACAGUUCUACAGUCUGUAGAACAUGUAUUUAAUUGAAAACACAGAACAUGGCUGUUAGACUGAGUCUUAGCGGACAAGAAUAUUGUCAAGCUGCUCUUGGUGUUGGUGUAAAACAAUUACUUGUGGUACAGGCUGACUUCAAAGGGAAAUCACCUCAUUAAGACGAGUGUUGAAAUGCAUCUCCCUAGGUGCUAGCGGUGUUUCAUUCCUUCCAGUUACUAAGUCAGCCAGUUUGUUUGCUCACACAGUUCAUAUUGUCUCUGCAAGGGAAACAAUAGAUUUUUAAAAGAAAUCUUAAAAAUAUAAAGGCAAACCCUUAUAUAAAACCUGAAAAUAUGAGUACUUAGGAAUUUUAUUGACCUGCACCAGAAGGUUAAGAGUAAGAGAAAUCUCUUAUUGUAUAUUUAUUUUUGUUAAAGGAAUUACACAAACAAAACUAUCAAAACAAUGAGAAUAAUUAAUUUUCUUCCCAGUUAUUCCAUCAUGUCAUAAUUCCAUUAAAAUAUUUAUGUUCCAACUUGUUAAGAAUUUUCUUUUUACAACAUUUCUGUGUUAUAGUUUAUGCUUUGACUUUGCUCAUUCUGCAUAUUACAGAGGGCCACUAGCUAGGUUUCAAAGUACUUCUUUCCAGCCACUUAAACUGAGAUGACUAAUACCGUCUGACCUGCAGUCUGCCAUGAACAGACUAUGCUUCACUAGCUCCAUCACAGCAAAGAAACUCCAACAAGAUAUCUGGUUCUCAUUGCUGUGGUUUAUGAUACAUUAGAAAAGCUCUAUUUCUUAACAGGAUAUUCCUUGGAUCCUUUCCUAGAAGUCAGGGGAUUAGAUGCAAACCAGCUUCCAACCUUUCAGCCUUUCCAAAGUUGUAGUUAGAGCUGUCAGAGGAAGCAAUCAAUCACCCAAGCUGAAACUGAGAGGAUACAUCUUCACAGCUGUGGAAUCAUUCUGUCUCUUCACAUAGGAAUAGUUGCAGACUAAGUAUGCAAAUGGCAGAGUUGCAUUUUCUUUAGUUUGAAAAAGUAUGACUUACUUUCCCUCUUCCUGGCUGAGUUAUUCCCUGUCGUGUAAGCUGGUGCCUGUCAAACAAGGAAUUCCCCAUCAAGUACUCACUCCAUUAAAACUGCUAUUGGAUGAAGACAAUUGGGAAUGCUAUCAAAGGAAAUGUCACUGCAGCAGUUCCUUGUUCAGAUAAUAAUGGUGUUUCUAUAUUAUAGCAAGACUAAUGAGAAACAACAAAACUUCAAAGACACCAAGUAAAUUAGGACUUCUACCACAUGGCAACACAGGCAACUGAUGCUGUGAAAUCAGUCCCCCUACUGUCUGGACAAAUUGCUUUUGUUUUAUUGGAUAUAUGUAAAUGUGUUCCCAUGACUAUUUUGGAAUGGUUUUGGUACAUCAUACACUUUAAUAAAAUUGGUGAAAUUACAUUAAAUAGUAUUAGUAUAGCAUAGUAUAGUAUAAUAUAGUACAGUAUAAUACAGUAUAAUACAAUUAGAGCAUUAUAAUAAUGUAUCAUGAAAGUGAUGGUUAAAAAAAGUUAUUUAAUAUAAAUGAAGAAGUGUUCAUUUUUAAAAUUCAGAAAACAAGAAAAUAAAGCUAGGAAAAUUAAUAAGGAAUUAUUUGCAUGAUAUUGGAAGAGUAGCUUUUUUAGAACUGCUUUCAUUAAGAUGAGAGUCUCACCUCCCCUUUGUUAUCUUAGUCUCCCACGCUGAAAGAAAAGUAUGUUCUUUCAUUAGUAUGAAGAUUUUUUCCUUAUUAUUUGUAAGAAUUUGGCUUCCAUUGUACAGCUGCAAGAGAGACACCAGUACUAAAUUAAAGGUAAUUGUUCAAAAAAACUGAGUCUUGUAAAGGUAAAGAUAUCUAAUCUAAUUGUACCUGCAGGUAAAUGCUUCAUUAGAGCAGAAAUUUAACUACUUUGUGACCAGCUGGAAAACAAUAUCUGAUGCUGUGAACGUAAUAGUGGGAUAAAUCUCAUCCACCUUAUACAGCUAUGGGAACAUCCACACUAGUAUUGUAGUUCAGAUCAUUAGUGCUCAUUUGAAGCAAAUCUCCCAGUUAUCCAGAAUUUACUAAGCAUCAGUUCAUAUCAGAGCAGACUCAAAGCACACAAAUGGACUUCUUAAGCUAAGGCAAAGGAUUAUUCCAGGAAUGCACCUAACACACUACACCUGCUAAUGGUAGACCUGCUAAUGUACAUUCCUGGCAGAGAGACUAGGACCCAGCCAAGUAAAAUCUCCCAAACAGACACAAAGCACAUAUCAGUACCUCAGCAUCCACACACACAUUUGUGCUUCACUCCACAAAUGUUCUCCUACUGUACCACACUACGCUCUAUCAUACUACAGUAUACCUAUACGACAUACCCUUACAUCUGUUGAAUUAUCUUCAUAGGCAGUGGAAAGAAAAAAAGAACAGUUUUAGGCUGAAAUUCAGGGGAACUAUUUCACAUGUGUACCUGUAGGGGAAGCAGAGGGGAGCUGCUCUAAAAAGGACAUCUGGACAAUAGCAUGUGGUUUUAUAAAUCCACCUUUGGGAUUUCAAAUGGGACACAGUAUGGCCAUCAAUUAAACUGCCAUCUCUGACAGUUUGUCUGCACUAACUUAUAGGGUGUUGCACAGGAAUUUGUGGCAGCCCAAGGAGCAGAAUUUAAUUCUGAUAGAGUCCACCUUUCGGACCCCAAAUUUUUCAGAAAUAUUCCUUCAGAUUCAAUUACACUAGCCAUUAAACAAAGAAUAGUUGUAUUUUCUUAAGUACUUUUUGAUCCUUUAAUUCAGAGUAUUUUUAGUUAUUGGUGGGAAGAGAAUGUUUAGCAGAAGCAUUUUUGUCAGAGGAAAAAUUGAUAAAGGAGACCUGUACUGUUCUGUUCUCAUUUCAUAUUUCAUACUGAACAUUUAAAAGCAUUAUGCUUCCACUGUAGUAAUUGUCUUCCGAUAUUUAUGGAGGAAUUAAUUAUUUUUAAAAUAGACUACAGUAGGAAUGAACUACUAUGUGAAUUUCAAAAAGCAGGAAUGUGCGGAAGUUAGGGAACCACUUCCUAAACAUUGCCAUGCAUGCAAAUGUUUUGUUUCUACUGACAAUGACAUCUCCUAGAAAGCUUCAUUCUGUUUCCAACCGAUAAGGAUGUGCAUUAUAUACCACAUUCAUCUCCCUAACUGUAUAAAGUUAAACCUUAAUUAACUUUUUAGCACAGUUGCCAAAGAUUCAGAAUUUAUAGGCAUGAACAGUUGAAGCUCAUAAAAGAUAUGCAGGGGAAAAGUAAAAUAAAAACAAAAUAUAAUAAAAGAGAUUAAAGAUUGUAAUAACUUUAAUGAAAACACGUUGAAUUCCCUCUAUUCUUUUUGUCAAUGAUGAUGAAAAUAGAGUGUCGAUGCCAAUGUAAUUCUAAAAGAGAAUCAUGGUUGUACCUGUGUAAAUAAUAGUUUACUAAUAGUGUAUUCUGAAAUAACGUAGUUCUAUAGGUAUAGAGAAAACAGCUGCGUGACACUUAAGAAACAGUAUGUAAAUAUUUCAUUCAGCUAAUCCCUGUGAAAACAAAAUGGAAAUAAUUUUGCACUUUUUACCAUCCUAAGUUACAUUUUAUAAUGAUACCAGUUUAAUAUUUUCCAUAGAGAUUGUAAAACUAAGCUGGAGGUGAAUUGCAAUUCUAACAAUCUUGUUUCCUUUAAUAAUUUUUUUUAGUAACUUACAUAAAAAUAAACACUGAGCAGCAAAUUCAUUCCCAUGUAAAGUUGUGUCUAAGAUAAAAAUACAUAUUAAAAGUCAAUGCUGCACCUAAAUAUGAAUGUGACUCACCAAGACAUUCUCCACAUGAAUCCCAGACAAAUAUGGAGCUAAAUAUUCAUGAUGAGUUUAAGAACACAGAUAGCUUCACAUGAGGUAAAGGAAAUAAUCUACUAAAAUUCAUCAUUCUUGAAAUAUAAAAAUGAUAUGGUCAUCUGAAGAUUAUUAAUGAAAGUAUCUGAAUAUUUUAGAGAGUGAGAUUGUAAUUAGAGAUACUGAAUAUGUUAUAUGGGUAGCAUAUUUGAACUGCAUAUGAAAGUAAUACUUUGUACAUGCAAUUUACACAUAUUAUACAUAGUCAGUGUCUCCAAAUAUAAAUGUUUAACUAAGUAAA